rnacentral:lncRNA from 1 species
AGAUCUAAUCUGUGAACUACCACAUAGUCAGAUCUAUGAUAUAAAUAUGGCAUGCAAAUCAAAAAUCAAUUUUAUAGAUCAUAUCUAUCAUGUAUGUGAGAUUCGAUCUCAAUACCUUUAUACAGGUCGAUCUAUACUGUAGCUGAUGAUCAUGAAUUUGCUGGUUCUUUGAGCCACAUGCGUCCGACCUCUAUAGGUAUCCACAUGAAGUUCUCAGUC